CCUUGUGUUUCAAAAAAGAAAUAUUUUCUUUCUUUUCUACGAUUCUAAUUUCAAAAAGUUUGUUCUAACUAAAUCUCUAUAUCUCAUAUCUUUCGGCAUCUAACAGGAAUCUGAGUAUCUAAAUAACAUUAUUAUAAAUCUUCUCCUGAUUUUUCUCAUGAUUCAUCCUUGCCAUGUUCCAUGUGGUGUUGCUUUUUCUAGAGGUUGAAGGCGGACUGGAUAUGACGACGACUGUUGGAUAGAGGAGUCGAAGCAAUCAAGGUAGCAAUGACACGAUCGGUGGAUGAGUGCGCAAGAAGAAAAGCUCGAGUGGUUGAGAGAUUCAGUUGUUCAGAUGGUGACGAAUCUGAGAGAAUGAUCGUGGACUUAUACGAACGAGGCUGAGCAACAGGUUUGACUACGACGGCCAUGAAUCUGGAGAUGAAGAUUGUGGAGACAGAGCACCUAAUGAAAGCUCUUUUGGAGCAUGAUCUGUAACUGAAUCCACCAGAAGGAAACAAUCACGAGCAAGUAUGUAAUCCACCAGAAGGAAACAAUCCAAUCUCACUUUCUUGAUCGUCCAUGAGGACAUAAGCAAUGGUUUGGUGAGGGAGAGAAGCACGUGAAAGCUGUUUUCUUUUUAGCAAGUAAUAUAGCUCUAAUCGUGUUUUUUUGUGUGGAUGAGGUAUGUUGCAAGACUUUAAAAACAGAGCUCUUCCUUGCUUUCCGUUUUUUGAAUACCUGCUUCCCUGUAACUUUAUGUUAAUUUGUAUCACGAUCUCCCUACAGUUUCUUAUGCC